rnacentral:rRNA from 1 species
UACGAAGGGGGCUAGCGUUGCUCGGAAUCACUGGGCGUAAAGCGCACGUAGGCGGAUUGCUAAGUCAGGGGUGAAAUCCUGGAGCUCAACUCCAGAACUGCCUUUGAUACUGGCGACCUUGAGUCCGGGAGAGGUGAGUGGAACUGCGAGUGUAGAGGUGAAAUUCGUAGAUAUUCGCAAGAACACCAGUGGCGAAGGGCGGCUCACUGGCCCGGUACUGACGCUGAGGUGCGAAAGCGUGGGGAGCAAACAGGG